rnacentral:rRNA from 1 species
UACGUAGGGGCCAAGCGUUGUCCGGAUUUAUUGGGCGUAAAGAGCUCGUAGGCGGUUCGGCAAGUCAGCUGUGAAAUCUCCACGCUCAACGUGGAAGGGUCAGCUGAUACUGCUGUGACUUGAGUCCGGUAGGGGAGUGUGGAAUUCCCGGUGUAGCGGUGAAAUGCGUAGAUAUCGAGAGGAACACCAGUGGCGAAGGCGAGUCCCUGGACAACACCUGACACUGAGGCACGAAAGCCGGGGGGAGCAAACAGG